CUAGGCUAUAAUCAAUAUAUUCCUAAACUGUGAUUGCUUUGAAUGUUGACUGCACCCUUUCCUUUCACACCAGUAGAUAGGCUCAGGCCCAAGUAUGGUGGAUUAAGACUGACCUGAGAGAACACGAUAUCAGCACAUCCAUUGAUGGGAAGGAAGGACGUUGACCCAAUAGGCCAUUGGCUUUGUGGAACAACAGUCUUGAAAACCCUUGGAGAAGAUAGGUGCAGCCAACUCUGGAGGACUGCCUGAAAGGGAGCAGAGCCUGUAGAGGAGGCAUGUUCCAUUGUGAGUGCUGUGGCUUGUGUUUCACAUCGUGUGACAACCUGUGGCCCUGCAUCUCCCAGACACAGUGCCAGGUGCCACCACCAUGUGAACAUGACCGGGCUAGCCUGCUGGAGAAUGAAAGACAUGUGUCCUGACCACCCUGUCACCUAGCUGAUAGCAAGCUCUUCCCAGAAAAAAAGAGCGACCUGAAUGACUUGCAUUGUCUGCAGGCUCAUGAGGGAGCCCAGCUGACACCAGAAUAAUCACUCAACUGAGUUCAGCCUAACUGAUGACCCUCAGUAUAGUGAGCUAAAUAAAUGGUGGUUGUUUAAAGCUGCUAAGUUUUGGGAUAGGCUGUUUCAAAGCAAAAAUGAGCUACUGGUAUCUGUGUGGCUCAUUUUCAUGCCAUAGCUCCAAUGACUGACAAGGAGUGGAGCUCCUUGGAAAUGGUCAAUAAAAGCACAAAUGGAGCCAAGUCUCAGGUUCAUAGGUCACUUAACUAGAGAGAAUCAGGGACGGAAUGGAGGAGUGGGCUGAUGCUGCCAAUGAAUUCAGAGCUGAGUCCAGCAGUCAGGAUUGUUUUUAUGCCUGCAAAGCCCCAGACCCACCUCGUUUCCCUUAGGGGCAGGUUGGGUGGCUCCUUUAGUUCUAGUCUCUGCAAAACAACAAGCAGUGUUUUGUGUUUCAGUCAGAAGGGAACUUAACAUUUUACAAGACAGCCACCAGUCUUACCACAGGAGUUCUUAAUUUGUGGAGUUUAAGGGGCCAAGUGGGAACAAUGGCAGAAAGAAGAAAAGUGUCUUUGGAGUGAAGCUACUCAGAGAUGCCAAUGCCUUCUCGCUUGAAGGGCAGAACAUGAAAAGUAGUAAUUUGCUCUGGCCCAGCCAGGGGAUCGAAUGUUAAAUGUAAACAGCUGUUUGCUUUGUAAUGGUCUGGUCUGGAAGGCUCCAUGACAGGAGCGAGGCACAGAAUUUUAGAUCUGGAAUGAGUAUUAAAGAUUGUCUUGUGGGAAAUCCCUGUCUUCCACUUGAAUGCUUCAUUUUAUUUUUAUAGUUACUUACACAAGCAAUACCUUGUAUACAUUCAACCCACCCUCCAACUGUGUGGGUUAUGCAUCCUGUAUUCAACCAACUGCAGAUAAAAAAUAUUUGAAAAAAGAAACUAAUAAAAAAACAUAAAAACUAGUACAAAUAGGAAAUACACUAGAACAACUAUUUAGAUAGCAUUUACAUUGUAUUAGGUAUUAUAAGUAGAGAUAAUUUUAAAUACACAGGAGGAUGUACAUAGGUUAUAUGCAAAUAGUUCCCCAUUUUCUAUCAGGGACUUGAGCAUCCUGACAAUACUGAGGGAUGACUGUAUUCUCAAUGUGCAGCAUUCCCCCUUCAUGCCAUGGUAUCUAAGCCCACCCUUGAAGAAGCAGCUAGUGAGCAUCCUCACAGCCCAUUUCUACAAAAAUGGAUAUAUAUUCACAGAUCUACUUUUCUAUUGCAACAUUAUAGGAUUAUAUAAAACAUGCUGUUUUUAAAUUUGAUUUAUUUUUUUACCAACUGAUAUGUUUUAAAGAUCUAUCUGUGUAUAUACAUAGAGGUUGAAUUCUGUAUAUAUACAUACAGGUUGAAUACAAAGGCUGCAUAGUAUUCUUUCAUAUAAUUAUCCACACUCUAUUAAAUACUCCAUUUUUGAUGGGGAAUGUAGAUUGCUUCCACUUCUUUGGCUAUUGUAAAUCUCAAAGCAAGAGGCCAGGACUAAUGGCUCAUGCCUGUAAUCCCAGCAAUUUGGGACACUGAGGCAGGAGGAUCACUUGAGGCCAAGAGUUCAAGACCAGACUGGGCAACAAAGAAAGACCCCAUUUCUACAAAACAAUAAAAUUAAAUAAUAAAAUAAAAAUAAAAAAAUAAUAAAAAUUAGCCAGUCAUGGUGGCGCUCAUCUGUAGUUCCAGCUACUCGGGACCGGGAGGAUUGCUUGAGCCCAGGAGUUUGAGGCUGCUGUGAGCUGUAAACACGCCUGCACUCCAGCCUGGAUGACAGAACAAGACCCUGUCUCUAAAAAAUCCAAAAAAUUAAAAUAAAGCCAGAAACAUUUUUGUGCAUAACUCUUCGAGCAUUUCUUUCUUUUUUUUUUUUUUUUUUUGAGAUGGAGUCUCACUCUGUCGCCAGGCUGGAGUGCAGCGGCGCGAUCUCAGCUCACUGCAACCUCUGCAUCCUGGGUUCAA
rnacentral:lncRNA from 10 species